rnacentral:rRNA from 1 species
AAUAGAUACCCAGGUAGUCCACGCCGUAAACGAUGUCGACUUGGAGGUCGUGCCCCUGAGGCGUGGCUUCCGGAGCUAACGCGUUAAGUCGACCGCCUGGGGAGUACGGCCGCAAGGUUAAAACUCAAAUGAAUUGACGGGGGCCCGCACAAGCGGUGGAGCAUGUGGUUUAAUUCGAUGCAACGCGAAGAACCUUACCUACUCUUGACAUCCAGAGAACUUAGCAGAGAUGCUUUGGUGCCUUCGGGAACUCUGAGACAGGUGCUGCAUGGCUGUCGUCAGCUCGUGUUGUGAAUGUUGGGUUAAGUCCCGCAACGAGCGCAACCCUUAUCCUUUGUUGCCUAGCGGUUAGGCCGGGAACUCAAAGGAGACUGCCAGUGAUAAACUGGAGGAAGGUGGGGAUGACGUCAAGUCAUCAUGGCCCUUACGAGUAGGGCUACACACGUGCUACAAUGGCGCAUACAAAGAGAAGCGACCUCGCGAGAGCAAGCGGACCUCAUAAAGUGCGUCGUAGUCCGGAUUGGAGU